rnacentral:rRNA from 1 species
ACUCCUACGGGAGGCAGCAGUGAGGAAUAUUGGACAAUGGGUGAGAGCCUGAUCCAGCCAUGCCGCGUGCAGGAAGACGGCCCUAUGGGUUGUAAACUGCUUUUAUACGGGAAGAAACCUCCCCUCGUGAGGGGAGCUGACGGUACCGUAAGAAUAAGGACCGGCUAACUCCGUGCCAGCAGCCGCGGUAAUACGGAGGGUCCGAGCGUUAUCCGGAAUCAUUGGGUUUAAAGGGUCCGUAGGCGGGCAGCUCAGUCAGUGGUGAAAGUUUGCGGCUUAACCGUAAAAUUGCCAUUGAUACUGGUUGUCUUGAAUUGGUGUGAAGUGGUUAGAAUGAGUAGUGUAGCGGUGAAAUGCAUAGAUAUUACUCAGAAUACCAAUUGCGAAGGCAGAUCACUAACACUAUAUUGACGCUGAGGGACGAAAGCGUGGGGAGCGAACAGGAUUAGAUACCCUGGUAGCUACGAG